UACGGAGGGUCCAAGCGUUAUCCGGAAUCAUUGGGUUUAAAGGGUCCGUAGGCGGUUUUGUAAGUCAGGGGUGAAAGCCCAUCGCUCAACGGUGGAACGGCCAUUGAUACUGCAAGACUUGAAUUAUUGGGAAGUAACUAGAAUAUGUAGUGUAGCGGUGAAAUGCUUAGAGAUUACAUGGAAUACCAAUUGCGAAGGCAGGUUACUACCAAUAUAUUGACGCUGAUGGACGAAAGCGCGGGGAGCGAACAGG
rnacentral:rRNA from 1 species